CCUACGGGAGGCAGCAGUGGGGAAUUUUGGACAAUGGGGGCAACCCUGAUCCAGCCAUUCCGCGUGAGUGAAGAAGGCCUUCGGGUUGUAAAGCUCUUUCAGCCGGAACGAAACGGUACGCACUAAUAUUGUGUGCUAAUGACGGUACCGGCAGAAGAAGCACCGGCUAACUACGUGCCAGCAGCCGCGGUAAUACGUAGGGUGCGAGCGUUAAUCGGAAUUACUGGGCGUAAAGCGUGCGCAGGCGGAUUAUUAAGCAAGACGUGAAAGCCCCGGGCUUAACCUGGGAAUGGCGUUUUGAACUGGUAGUCUAGAGUGUGUCAGAGGGGGGUGGAAUUCCACGUGUAGCAGUGAAAUGCGUAGAUAUGUGGAGGAACACCAAUGGCGAAGGCAGCCCCCUGGGAUAACACUGACGCUCAUGUACGAAAGCGUGGGUAGCAAACAGGAUUAGAUACCCUGGUAG
rnacentral:rRNA from 1 species